rnacentral:lncRNA from 1 species
UUUUAUUGGUUAAUUAGGAAAUUAUUUUUGAUGUAUUCAACACCCAUCACAACUCAAGAUAGAGCUCACGACCUCAUGAGCUUAAGAGGUCAUGGUUUAGGCCUCAUGAAUGAUAAAGGAUGGCAUAAUCCAUUCAAAGGGAGAUCCAUAUGGCAAGGUCCAAAUAAGUGAAAAUAAAAACUAAAUUCAAGUUGAGCAAAGUCCCACAUAGAGAGAAGUCUAAGAUGGAUCCAGUUCAAGGUGGUUAUAUGGAUGGAGUACCACUAUGUCAAGUAGAGCAAGGACAAGAUCAUUGGCUAAUAG